rnacentral:rRNA from 1 species
CCUACGGGAGGCAGCAGUAGGGAAUAUUGGGCAAUGGGCGCAAGCCUGACCCAGCAACGCCGCGUGAGGGAAGAAGGUUUUCGGAUUGUAAACCUCUGUCCUAUGUGACGAAGGAAGUGACGGUAGCAUAGGAGGAAGCCCCGGCUAACUACGUGCCAGCAGCCGCGGUAAUACGUAGGGGGCGAGCGUUGUCCGGAAUUACUGGGCGUAAAGGGUGCGUAGGCGGUUUGGUAAGUUGGAUGUGAAAUACCCGGGCUUAACUUGGGGGCUGCAUCCAAUACUGUCGGACUUGAGUGCAGGAGAGGAAAGCGGAAUUCCUAGUGUAGCGGUGAAAUGCGUAGAUAUUAGGAGGAACACCGGUGGCGAAGGCGGCUUUCUGGACUGUAACUGACGCUGAGGCACGAAAGCGUGGGGAGCAAACAGG